AAAAAAAAAAAAAGAGAGCAGCAAAAUUUUAUACAUAAAUAGGUAGUCAUACAUUAAAAUAUGUUAUUAACAUAUAUUAAACAGUAUUUUAUGUGAAAAAUAAUAACAAAAAAAAAAAAAAGCCUUAUUCAAAAUACAUAACUCUGUUUAUUUUUUUUUUUUUUUUUAGUGUUGUACUUUUUUAUUAAAAUAUAUUCAACUAGUUCUGUAAUUGAGCCAUUUUUUUUUAAGAGUAUAUUCAAAUAUAUACGCUGAACACAUAUACACACACACAUAUAUACAUACAUAUACGUAAACCCAAAUGAUCAGCGCGCUUUUAAAAAACAUUUACUCGAUUAGUUUUAAAAAUGGAAACAAUUCCUCUCAAUGUUAUAAAAAUAUGAUGAACACAAGCCGACUGAUCGGACGUCAUAAUACUUGCAUACUGAAAGUACGACGCAAGUACAUUCAUACACAAAGAAGUAAUAUUUUUUAUAACAAUAUUCAGAACUACGCUAAAACUAAGGACAUUAAAUAUAAUACAUUUAAGAACUGUGGAUUUUUUCACAUUACUAAAAACCUUAGGGAAAUAAAUUUUAGUACUGUUAAUAAUGCAAAAAAUAUAAAAAACUUAAGUAAUGAAUAUGAGAAAGAUACAGAUUCUAUUAAUUCGGUUAAUGUGAAUAAAAAUGGUUUACAUUCGAACCCAGGCGAUAAGGCUAAUAAUCCAAACAAUAUAAAUGCCAACCCAAGCAAUGUAGAUAAUACCAACCCAAAUGAAAUGACUGAUGCAACAGAAAAAGAAAAAGGAGGAAAAAAAAAAUUCAGAAAAACAAAGCUCUUGUUAUAUGGUCUCACAACGUUGUUCGGUCUCUAUGUAUCUUACAAAAUAUACAAAAAUGAUAUGAAUUUAUCCAAAGCAGAAGAAAGUAUUGUAAAGGAUUUUAUGAAUCUUAUUUAUACUUAUGAAGAAAAGAUGAGUGUUAAAAAUUCUCAAUUUAUAACAUGCUUAGAUGAAAAUAUGAAUAAACAAAUAGCUAUGUAUUUUUUACAAUUAGAUAAUGACAAGACAUCUGGUUUUCUUAUUAAUGACGCUCUUAAGUUUUUAGAGGAAUUAAAUAUAAAUACAGAUAAUACAAUAGUAAAAGAUUUUAUAAACACUGGGAAAGGUAAAAACUAUGAAUUAAAAAAAUUAUCUGGUUGCACGUUACAACAAUUUGCUGAACUUAUUGAGAGCUUAAUUUUAGAAAGUAAAACAAAAAAUGUAGUAGAUACCUUAUCAGAUGAUAUAUUACCUCUUUUCAUUACAAAUAGCGAAAACUAUUAUAUUAAAAUUUUAAAUGAAUAUUUAAAUAAGUUUUUGAAGUAUAUAAAAACAACAAAUUUAUAUUUAUAUUAUUUAAUGAAAAAAAAUAGUAAUAGUAGUG
rnacentral:lncRNA from 1 species